CGCUGGCGGCACGCCUAACACAUGCAAGUCGAACGAAGUAGCAAUACUUAGUGGCAGACGGGUGAGUAACAUGUAGGUAUCUGCCCUUUGGCCUGGAAUAACACGAGGAAACUUGUGCUAAUACCGGAUAAGUCUUUACGGAGAAAGCUUUAUGCACCAUUGGAUGAGCCUGCACUUGAUUAGUUUGUUGGUGGGGUAAUGGCCUACCAAGACUGUGAUCAAUAGCUGAUUUGAGAGGAUGAUCAGCCACAUUGGGACUGAGACACGGCCCAAACUCCUACGGGAGGCAGCAGUGGGGAAU
rnacentral:rRNA from 1 species